rnacentral:rRNA from 1 species
GGUGAACGCUAGCGGUGCGCCUAACACAUGCAAGUCGAGCGGGAUUACAUUUUAGCUUGCUAAGAUGUAUGAGAGCGGCGAACGGGUGAGUAACACGUUGGAAUCUGCCCCCAAGUCAGGGAUAGCCAUUGGAAACGAUGAUUAAUACCGGAUAGUCUCUACGGAGUAAAAAUUUAUUGCUUGGGGAGGAGCCUGCGUUCUAUCAGCUAGUUGGUAAGGUAAAAGCUUACCAAGGCUAUGACGGAUACCUGGUCUGAGAGGAUGAUCAGGCACAAUGGAACUGAGACACGGUCCAU